UACGUAGGGACCAAGCGUUGUUCGGAUUUACUGGGCGUAAAGGGCGCGUAGGCGGCGCGGUAAGUCACUUGUGAAAUCUCUGAGCUUAACUCAGAACGGCCAAGUGAUACUGCAGUGCUAGAGUGUGGAAGGGGCAAUCGGAAUUCUUGGUGUAGCGGUGAAAUGCGUAGAUAUCAAGAGGAACACCUGAGGUGAAGACGGGUUGCUGGGCCAACACUGACGCUGAGGCACGAAAGCCAGGGGAGCAAACGGG
rnacentral:rRNA from 1 species